rnacentral:rRNA from 1 species
UACGUAGGGGGCAAGCGUUGUCCGGAUUCAUUGGGCGUAAAGAGCGUGUAGGCGGCCAGAUAGGUCGGUUGUGAAAACUGGAGGCUCAACCUCCAGACGUCGACGGAAACCGUGUGGCUAGAGUCCGGUAGGGGAGUGUGGAAUUCCCGGUGUAGCGGUGAAAUGCGCAGAUAUCGGGAGGAACACCGAUGGCGAAGGCAGCACUCUGGGCCGGCACUGACGCUGAGGAGCGAAAGCGUGGGGAGCGAACAGG